CCGCGGGAUUCUACUUUCAUUUUCAUUUCAAAAGGGACAAGACUGUGUAUAAAACUAAGUUGUAAUAGUAAUGGAUGUUAACAUUGAUAGCAAGUGAUGAGACUAUUAUCAUGAUUAUAAUGUCAUCAGUAAAAGGAAAAAAAGAGCUCAAUAAAACAUAUCAUGUUGGUGCACAGCUGGGAAGUGGUGGUUUUGGAACAGUUUAUGGAGGCACAAGGAAAAGUGAUGGUCUACCUGUAAGUAUAAAAUAAAGAAUUUUGUU